UACGUAGGGUGCGAGCGUUGUCCGGAAUUAUUGGGCGUAAAGAGCUCGUAGGCGGUGUGUCACGUCGGCCGUGAAAACCUGCAGCUUAACUGUGGGCGUGCGGUCGAUACGGGCAUCACUGGAGUUCGGCAGGGGAGACUGGAAUUCCUGGUGUAGCGGUGAAAUGCGCAGAUAUCAGGAGGAACACCGGUGGCGAAGGCGGGUCUCUGGGCCGAUACUGACGCUGGAGGAGCGAAAAGCCGUGGGGAGCAAACAGG
rnacentral:rRNA from 1 species